rnacentral:lncRNA from 1 species
UAGGUUAUGAAAGGUCAAACUUCAAAGGACAAAUUGCAGCCGUAUACAUCGUAGGUUAGGGCGGAGAAUGGCCGAAUGGGGAUUGGCAGGAACAUAUAAAAAAUUAGGUCUCAAAUUGAAAGAGGGGAAAAUAAGCUUCAACAAUAAUUGUAAAUAACUAGAGAUUUAGAUAAACAUGUAGUCUUUGUUUUUGACAAAUGUGAUUCUGGAAGAUAUCAAGCUUAUAACUCGUCUUUGUCAGGGAAUAUACUACCAUAUUCUUGGAAUAUGCGAGGAUAGUAC